rnacentral:lncRNA from 1 species
GUCUUUUUGAGUAAAAGUAGGUGUUGUCAAAUUUACUGCUUUUGUUUGCAGAAGCCCAGAAGAAUGAUGGACACAUGGAAACAGUUGUCAAAGAAGAGGACUCUGAGGGUGAUGUGAAGAUGGACAUGUUCUGCGCUGUUUGUGGAAAAGCUGCCGAAUGCGAGCCGCCAUUCUGUGAAACGUGCAGGAAGACAGUGCAGUUCCCCUCCCAGACACCAGAGAGCAGCAGUACUCUUGCCAUGGUGCUGUCAAAAGAGGAUGCUCCAGGAGGGAACAGUUUUGACUUGCCAAAGAGUUUGUACCUGAAUGUGACUGAGGGAGAUACAGAGGAGUUCCCCUGCCUGUUGGAAUCCAAAAAUGUCUCAUCUUUGAAUGAAGAACCCCGUGCCAAAAGCCCAGUGGCCCCUGAGGCUCCUGCGGUGCCUUCAGUUCGCCGAGGUCGCCCCUCCUGCGGGGAGAGGCUCUCUUCAGCUAAAAGAGCGCGGCCUUCCCCUGAAGUCGACAGUACGUGUGACAGUAUGGCUGUAGAGGCCAAAGAGCUUGUGCAGGCAGUUCUGUCCAGGAGACCUGGUGGGGAGCGGGUCCUGGAGGAGUACCGAGCCAAGGGAACGCUGACAGACACCACUAGACGGCACCUCAUCAACAUACUCGUUGCCCACAUGACAGAGACUCAGGGGUAGGUUUCUAAUGCACUUCCAUAGAGCAAAGGCCAGGGGGCGCUGUACUU